rnacentral:misc_RNA from 1 species
UUCGAGCGUCAUUACAACCCUCAAGCUCAGCUUGGUAUUGGGCUCGCCUUUUAUAGGCCUGCCUCAAAAUCAGUGGCGGCUCCGUCCAGUCUCAAGCGCAGUAAUACUCGUCGCUUGUUAGGCUUGGUCGGCGGCCUGCUAACAACCCCCACUUUUACAAGGUUGACCUCGGAUCAGGUAGGGAUACCCGCUGAACUUAA